UGGGAUGACAGCCGCGGGCAAGCCAGGGCUUCAUAAACGCACGAGACACGUACGCACACUCGAGGAGAGAACCUCGAAUGACCCCCAUGCUCCUCGCCUCACUAAAGGAGGGGAGGAACCCCGAGCAAGGCUCACCGCAAACGCUAGCGCUGCUCACCUAAGCCGCGGGUCGGCGUCAGACUGACUGCCACUUUGCAAAGUGCAACUCCUACCCCAAAACACCAGCACCAACAGGGCAGGGCCCUCACACUGUUGGGUGCAGCCCGAAGCUGCAUCCUGUCGACGGCCUAGGGCCGGUCCGACCCACCAGACAGCACAAGCCACAGCGCCCGCACCCUAGCGCAGGCGGUGCAGGCACGCCCACCGCCCAACCAAGUCCACACAGCCGCGCAACACCCUAGCACAGCAGACAGCGCAAGCCAGCCUUCGCUUAGUCGGCCUGCGCCAGCCAGCCUUCGCUGGACUGCCUUCGCCAGACUGCAUUCGCCAAGCAGGUCUCUCCACUGGCCACACCACGAGGUGUGUAGAUGCGCCCACAGCUCCAGCCGCCGCCGCCCGGAAGACGCCGGUCCUGGCUCCCGCCGCAGCGUGCCCCGAAAGAGCCGCUCAGCGACACGCCACUGCGAGCCCGGCAGCAGCGAGCGCCCCGCCAGAAGCAUCGCGAAGCCAUGAGGACGAGGUCGAACGGCGAGCAGGCGCGCCACCCACGCUAGGUCGCGAAGGCUCCACGGUGUGAAGUCAUGAUGUUCGGCAAAGAUUGCCAGAGCGGGGUCCGCUCGGCAGGACGGCGACGAUGAUGUCGCCGACUGAGUGGCGCGCCGCAGCCAGAGCAGUACUGACGCACUACAGCUGACCUAAGCAACGCCAGGGACGCCAUGGAGGCGCCACAGGGGAUUGGCGCGGCCACGAAGGCCGGCCAGGAACUACUACCGACAAGGAGGGUUAGGGCGCCGAGGCGCCCUAACGCAACCAAGCGGAGUAGAACGAGUUCAAUAGCUGAUAGAGGUUACAUGUGGGACGACAGCCGUGGACUAGCCAGGGCCCCAAAAACGUACGAGACACGCACGCUCACCCGAGGAGAGAUCCCCGAAUGACCCCCAUGCUCCUCGCCUCCGGAGAGGGGAGGAACCCCAGGCCCGGCUCACCGCAAACGCUAGCGCUGCUCACCUAAGCCGUGGGUCGGCGUCAUAAGACUACCUCUUAUUGCGAGUCCCUAAGCUGACAAGCUAGGGUGAGGCCGGUGGCGAGUCCGCUGUUGGCCCUACCAAGAUAACCCCUCCAACAUCAUCUGACGCUAGGAAUGGGUGCUGGUUCGGGACAAGGUCCCAGCGGCGCGGAGGCCGACGCAGACUCACAAACGCAGCUAGCCGUGACCAGAAGUCCGCAAUCACCUCCACACCGAUCCUUCGCACAACAGCAACCUCCGCAGUCCGGUCUGCAGCAUCACGGCAAGCGUAAAGGCGCUGUCGGCCGUAUUCCAGGGCCGCCACAGCAGCCAAGCACACGAUGUCCCACACCGCCUGCGAUAGCCCUGGUGGCGCCUGUACUCAAUAGCGAAUAGAGGUUACAUGUGGGACGACAGCCGCGGGCAAGCCAGGGCUUCAUAAACGCACGAGACACGUACGCACACUCGAGGAGAGAACCUCGAAUGACCCCCAUGCUCCUCGCCUCACUAAAGGAGGGGAGGAACCCCGAGCAAGGCUCACCGCAAACGCUAGCGCUGCUCACCUAAGCCGCGGGUCGGCGUCAGACUGACUGCCACUUUGCAAAGUGCAACUCCUACCCCAAAACACCAGCACCAACAGGGCAGGGCCCUCACACUGUUGGGUGCAGCCCGAAGCUGCAUCCUGUCGACGGCCUAGGGCCGUGCAAGUUCGCUGAACCACGAGGAUCAGCCGGUCCGACCCACCAGACAGCACAAGCCACAGCGCCCGCACCCUAGCGCAGGUGGUGCAGGCACGCCCACCGCCCAACCAAGUCCACACAGCCUCGCAACACCCUAGCACAGCAGACAGCGCCAGCCAGCCUUCGCUUAGUCGGCCUGCGCCAGCCAGCCUUCGCUGGACUGCCUUCGCCAGACUGCAUUCGCCAAGCAGGUCUCUCCACUGGCCACACCACGAGGUGUGUAGAUGCGCCCACAGCUCCAGCCGCCGCCGCCCGGAAGACGCCGGUCCUGGCUCCCGCCGCAGCGUGCCCCUGUUCACGCGCAGCGAGCCCGGCGCCACGUCAGGCCGCGGCAGCAGCCCACAGCAAGAGUCGCCAGCAGCUCCAAUCGGCCCGCCGUUACCGAAAGAGCCGCUCAGCGACACGCCACUGCGAGCCCGGCAGCAGCGAGCGCCCCGCCAGAAGCAUCGCGAAGCCAUGAGGACGAGGUCGAACGGCGAGCAGGCGCGCCACCCAUGCUAGGUCGCGAAGGCUCCACGGUGUGAAGUCAUGAUGUUCGGCAAAGAUUGCCAGAGCGGGGCCCGCUCGGCAGGACGGCGACGAUGAUGUCGCCGACUGAGUGGCGCGCCGCAGCCAGAGCAGUACUGACGCACUACAGCUGACCUAAGCAACGCCAGGGACGCCAUGGAGGCGCCACAGGGGAUGGGCGCGGCCACGAAGGCCGGCCAGGAACUACUACCGACAAGGAGGGUCAGGGCGCCGAGGCGCCCUAACGCAACCAAGCGGAGUAGAACGAGUUAGCUGGUUCAAUAGCCCAGCUAUAUACAUAUGCCAUGGAAAGUGUGACGCACCCGGUGCGUUUGCGCUACAGCGCGAUUUAGCUCGAACCAACUAGCAUGAUCGAUUAUUCGCAGCUUCCUGUAUACGUGAUCUUCUGUCCAGGCCGCGAGAGCGAGUGCAGCGUAUGAACGAAGCCGGUAACUGCGCUUUCUUGGCUUCCUCGAGAAUGCGCGCAGCUAUAACUUACAGUGCGAUGUAUUAGCGACACAGUCUGGCCUGCCAGAGCGCGCACUUGCAAGAAUUUCAGAGCGGGCUCGUUCCGAUCGGCUGGGAUGAAAGCUUACACGAUAUGUGCGAGCAGCUGUAUCCGUUGAUAUAAUCGGUGAGCAAAGUCAUGCACAGUUGCGAUGUGCUGUGAACUUUUAGCACGCUCGGCGACCCAGCUCGGCGAACCUCCUCGCUGGCGGGGGG
rnacentral:lncRNA from 1 species